rnacentral:sRNA from 1 species
CUAUAUUAUUGGAGGGUUUGCUCGCUACCAGCGUCUUCAGUCUUCCAAUGAUGAUGAUGCAGUGGACCGUCUAAACCACAUCUACACUGUGACUCUCUUGGUGGUUUUCUCAAUUUUUGUUAGCGGCAAACAAUAUGUUGGCAAUGCCAUUGAGUGUUUCUGUGACUGCGCUGAGUUCCCACCAUCCAAACGUGACUACGCCCGGACAUUCUGCUGGCUGAAGAACACAUACAAAGUGGACAUCAGUAAACCUUUCCCAAAAGACCCCCAAGUCAGAAGAACUGAAGAGAUAGCCUACUAUCAAUGGGUACCCAUUUUAUUGCUGGUCAUGGCUGCCUUGUUUAAACUUCCCAAUUUACU